GGAGGGGUGGCCGAGUGGUUGAAGGCGUCCCGCUUGAAACGGGAAGACCGCAAGGUCCGUGGGUUCGAAUCCUACCCCCUCCGCCA
rnacentral:tRNA from 1 species